rnacentral:lncRNA from 1 species
GCCAAGCAGAGGCUGCAGUAGCUUUUCAAGGGCAGUCCAUUUUCCAUCUGCUGGGGCUUUAUUCAUCUCAUGACUUACCUGGAACUAAAGAAGGGUAUAGAGCCUGGGAUGUCUGAACCAAUCGUUUUGAGCCUGCUUUGGAGAUAAAGGACUAUUUGAUCAUCUGGAUUUGGAAGCCAUCAAUGGGCAGGAACAACAUGGAGGAGCCAGGAUGGGCAAAAAGAACACUGUUCUCCAAAUAUCAGGCAUCUGUGUAAUGAUUGCUGAUUGCUACUUCUGAUCACAGAAGGUCCCACAAAGAGGUACAAUCUUAGGACAGGAACCAUGGAAACAGGUGCAUUAACAG